rnacentral:rRNA from 1 species
UACGGAGGAUGCGAGCGUUAUCCGGAUUUAUUGGGUUUAAAGGGUGCGUAGGCGGGUUGAUAAGUCAGUGGUGAAAGUUUGCAGCUUAACUGUAAAAUUGCCAUUGAUACUGUUAGUCUUGAGUAUGAUUGAGGUAGGCGGAAUGUGUGGUGUAGCGGUGAAAUGCUUAGAUAUCACACAGAACACCGAUUGCGAAGGCAGCUUACUGAGUCACAACUGACGCUGAGGCACGAAAGUGUGGGGAUCAAACAGG